UCCCUGAUGGUCCAGUGGUUAGGACUCAGCACUUUCACUGCAGGGGCCCAGGUUCGAUCCCUGGUCGGGGAA